GUGGCGGACGGGUGAGUAACGCGUGGGCAACCAACCCUGUACAGUGGGAUAACACCGGGAAACCGGUGCUAAUACCGCAUGACACCUAGACAGUGCAUACUGACUAGGUUAAAGGAUUUAGCCGGUACAGGACGGGCCCGCGUCCCAUUAGCUAGUUGGUGAGGUAACGGCUCACCAAGGCGACGAUGGGUAGCCGACCUGAGAGGGUGACCGGCCACACUGGGACUGAGACACGGCCCAGACUCCUACGGGAGGCAGCAGUGGGGAAUAUUGCGCAAUGGAGGAAACUCUGACGCAGCGACGCCGCGUGAGCGAAGAAGGCCUUCGGGUCGUAAAGCUCUGUUCUUGGGGACGAAUAAGGUGACGGUACCCAAGGAGAAAGCCCCGGCUAACUACGUGCCAGCAGCCGCGGUAAUACGUAGGGGGCGAGCGUUGUCCGGAAUUACUGGGCGUAAAGGGCGUGUAGGCGGCCAAGCAAGUCAAGUGUGAAAAGCCUCG
rnacentral:rRNA from 1 species